rnacentral:rRNA from 1 species
CCUACGUGAGGCAGCAGUGGGGAAUAUUGCACAAUGGGGGAAACCCUGAUGCAGCGACGCCGCGUGAGGGAAGAAGUAUUUCGGUAUGUACACCUCUAUCAGCAGGGAAGAACAUGCCGGUACCUGACUAAGAAGCCACGGCUAACUACGUGCCAGCAGCCGCGGUAAUACGUAGGGUGCGAGCGUUAUCCGGAUUUACUGGGUGUAAAGGGAGCGUAGGCGGUGCAGCAAGUCAGAAGUGAAAGCCCGGGGCUCAACUCCGGGACUGCUUUUGAAACUGGUGAACUAGAUUGCAGGAGAGGUAAGUGGAAUUCCAAGUGUAGCGGUGAAAUGCGUAGAUAUUAGGAGGAACACCAGUGGCGAAGGCGGCUUACUGGACUGUAAAUGACGCUGAGGCUCGAAAGCGUGGGGAGCAAACAGGAUUAGAUACCCCAGUAGUC